AUGCUUGGUGCUAUUUAGACUCUCUCAAUGAAAGUUUGGUUUUAAGUGAUAAAUGUACAUUCUAACAAUGCAUUGAUAUUAGAAAAGUAUAUAUUUACAUGUAAAUGUGCUGCAUAUGUGAGUUUAGAUCAUUUUUAACAACUUGUUUUGAGUCAAAGCUGUGCAAAUACUUUGAUAUUUAUUCCACAAACUACAUGAAUCAUCUUAGAAGAAAGAUUUGAUUAAUUAAAUAAUAAUGUUGACAAAAUACUUUUCACGCAAUUAGUUUUUAGCCCAGUAAACCAUAAAAAAAAAUUUUCGUAAAAAAUCACAGUUUGUAACACCUUUUCUUAUGUCUAUAAACGAUGUUGGACAUGUUUUAAACAGUUAUUUUGAUGAAUAACAAUUUACAAAAAUCUUACUGUUUUUAUAAUGAAAGCAAACAUUAUGUUCUUAUUCACCAGAUCAAACAAAUAUAAAUUAUUCUUAAACUACACUGUAAAAACACAUACUAGUAUGUCGGAACUGUUUCGCCAGCGGCUGUGCGACAAACCUCAUAUUUACAUGUAAUUCAAAUUGGACAACAAGUACAUUUAUUAUCUUCUGGUUGCAUUAUUGAAAUUCUACAUGAUAAAAAAUAAAAAUUUGAUUAAAUUAGAUAUACAGUGAAUGUAAAGGGAGGGGAGAGGGGGCUGUUGCACGUAAAGCAGCGAACCCUUAAUGGUUUUAAUUUCCUAACACCUAGACACAGGUUAACUAUAGUCUGUCCCAAGAUAUUUUUGCUGCACAUAUGAACGAUUCUUAAUAAAAAUACCCAUAUCUGUGAAAGAAAUGCAAUUGAAAUCGAUGAAAGGGAAAACCCCCAAGAUAACCUCAUUCACACAUUAUCAUUAUCAUGGCGCAUCUUUGCAAGGCUGCGAGGAUGGAUUUGCUGGACAAUUUUGUACCGAAUGUAAGUAUUAGGUAGAUCAAACCAUUUAUGAUAUUCUUUAGUUUUUUUUAAUUUUAAUUAAUUAGAUUUUAGAGUCAUCAAACUCAUACUUAGCACUAUUUAAUGGGUUGCACAUUGUUAACCUAUAAAUAAAAAGUGGAAUGAACAGUUCUUAACAUACACAUACAGUUGUUAAAUAUUAGCUUUGAAAUAAAUGAUUAAGUUAGUAACUCACUCUCUCUCUCUCUCUCGAUCGAUCGAUCGAUACACUGUAAACAAAUAAAACAAAAACAUUUUCAAUAAAUUCAUUAUGCUAGCUCUUUGUAUAAAUUAUCAUCCUGAUAUGUCGCGAGAAUUAACUGAAUCGGAUUCCGUCUUUGUUUUUUGUACGUACCGAAAUUUAUUUGACGGUGACAUAACCAGUUUAAGACAAUCACUAACUGAGCGUCAGAUGUGAGUAUUGUUGUACGACUUAAGUACCCGGUUGGUUUGAUAUGAAAUCAUAUUUUGGUCAUAUGUGAAAUGUAAAAUGAAUUCAUGACGUUCAAUUAAAAUUGAUUGAAUUAAGAACUGUUCUCGAGUAAAUUAUACUUACGUUAAAUAUCCUUUAAUUUUAAUGAUAUUUUCCUUGUAAGUUUUUGUAAGUUGCAGGAUUGAUACCGGUAUAUGGCCGUUUUCGCCCCAAUGGAUCACAAGAGAAAAUCAUUUUUGUGGUACCUGAUACAAGAGUCAAAACAGAUUAUAAACCCUGAAACAUAAAAUAUAGUAAACCACUGUCGUGCAGUCUACUUCAUAUAACGGUAGAGAAUAUGUACGAGAAGUAUUCAAUGAAAGCACCAAAAGCAAAGCCUUAAAGAAUUUACAUCAACGUGUUUUUGCAACUAUGUGGCAAAAGAACGAUGGUUAUUAUUACAGCUGGCUGUCUCGCCAGGAUACUUCACAACAAAGCACACAGACAGAUAGGCAUCACACUGAAAAGAUAAAGCUUACAACAAAACAAGCAAUCAAUGAAAAAAGACGUUUGGAGCUAUGACAGAGAUCCUUUCCAAAGAUGCUUUACACUUAGUUUUAAAAAGGUAAAAUAUAUAGAUGCAAAAAAGGCAUAAAUGAUGCUGCUGAUAUUUUAAUUUAAACAUAUUUUAUUGAGUAAUCAAAUGGAUUGGGCAACAGGCAAAGCCUAUAUAAACCCUCUCAAUGAUGCUGCUGAUAUGAAAGACAUCAUAUUAUAACAUUUAAAGACAUCACCAGAAAGGUUAAUUGACA